rnacentral:rRNA from 1 species
AUUGAACGCUGGCGGCAGGCCUAACACAUGCAAGUCGAACGGACCCUUCGGGGUUAGCGGCGGACGGGUGAGUAACGCGUGGGAACGUGCCCUUUGGUUCGGAAUAGCCUCGGGAAACUGGGAGUAAUACCGGAUAAGCCCUUCGGGGGAAAGAUUUAUCGCCAAAGGAUCGGCCCGCGUUGGAUUAGGUAGUUGGUGGGGUAAUGGCCUACCAAGCCGACGAUCCAUAGCUGGUUUGAGAGGAUGAUCAGCCACACUGGGACUGAGACACGGCCCAGACUCCUACGGGAGGCAGCAGUGGGGAAUCUUAGACAAUGGGGGAAACCCUGAUCUAGCCAUGCCGCGUGAUCGAUGAAGGCCUUAGGGUUGUAAAGAUCUUUCAGUUGGGAAGAUAAUGACGGUACCAACAGAAGAAGCCCCGGCUAACUCCGUGCCAGCCGCCGCAGUAA